GUCUACAUAGAUUAAGAUAAAUCAUGAUGCUGUUAACCUCAAAAUGGGAUACGUCCCUGUAGUCG
rnacentral:tRNA from 2 species